UACGUAGGGUGCAAGCGUUGUCCGGAUUUAUUGGGCGUAAAGAGCUCGUAGGCGGUCUGUCGCGUCGGAUGUGAAAAACCCAGGGCUCAACCCUGGGCCCUGCAUUCGAUACGGGCAGACUAGAGUAGCGGCAGGGGAGACUGGAAUUCCUGGUGUAGCGGUGAAAUGCGCAGAUAUCAGGAGGAACACCGGUGGCGAAGGCGGGUCUCUGGGCCGUAACUGACGCUGAGGAGCGAAAGCGUGGGGAGCGAACAGG
rnacentral:rRNA from 1 species